rnacentral:hammerhead_ribozyme from 1 species
AGCCGAAACGGGCGCGCAUUGCGCCCGUCGUAUCGGGAUUGGUCGCCCGAUGCCUGACGAUGGCAGACCAAA